GGGAAGUGCUGGGUCGAGAAGGGUGGGGUCCCUGGUGAGGAUCCACCCUCAGGCUGGUGCCCAGGGACCUAAGUAAGAAUAGGCACUCCUGUUUUCGCGCCCAAAUGUUGCAUUUUCCAAGACCACUCUGGCCUGCCACACCCCCUGAUCCUGUGCCUAUAAAAAACCCGGAGGCCCCAGCAGGCACACACACAGGUGGCUGGACAUCGAGAGGAACACACCAGUAGAAGAACACACCAGCAGAUGCUGGCAGGCUACUGAUGGCAGAACGACAGGGACGCCAAGGGGAAUUCGGCCAAGGGUGGGUGGUCUGAGGAGAUCCCCGCCACUGAGCAGCCAACCCCAGGGGAAGACUACCUUCCCACUUAAACCUCUUCUGUCUCCCCAUCAAUCUGCUGAGAACUGCUUCCACUACUCUACAAAACUUUGCACUCACUCUCCAAGACCACAUGUGAUCCGAUUUUUCUGGUACAGUAGGGCAAGAAUCCAGGGAUACAGAAGCCCUCUGUCCUUGCAAUUUAGCAGAGGCUCUGAUUGAACUGACUAACAAGCUGCCUGCGGACGGCUAAGCUGAAAGAGCAAACUGUAACACACGCCCACUGGGGCUCCAGGAACUGUAAACAACCAAUCCUAGAUGCUGCCGUGGGGUCGGAGCCCACGCUCUCCACCAUCUGCUCAUCGGCAUGCUUGUCCUAGGGGUUUGAGCAGUGGGGCACCGAAGAAGCAAGCCACACCGCUGUCACACACCCAGCAAGGAGUAUAAGGGAAAACUUCUCCCGUUUCGUUUAUAAUAUGAGCACUGACAAUAUAUGUCCAUGGAUAGAGCAGCAGAAAAGAGGAAGUACUAAAGAUGAAAGUCAGGAGAGAGAAUCCACUGCAAAGGACCGAAGGAAACUUUUUCAGUAUCAAUAUGACAUCAUAGGCUGUGAUGGUUUGUGGAGUUGGGAAGAGAUGCUGGCAGUCUGCCACAGUGAGCUUUAUGACCAUCUCCAGUACAUCACGGAGUGGCACCUUCAACAACUACACCCAUUCUCUCCGUCACAGCAAACUCCCCAUCUUCGCGCCCCUUCAGGCCUAGGUGGACAAUAUAUUUUCUGAUAGGAUCUUACCUGUUCCAGUAAUUGAUACAAGGAAUGAUGUCAGAAAACAGACUUUCCCUACAGAUUCUGCAAUGGGAUUCUGCACAUGUUCAAGAAAUAAACAGAAAACAUUCCUAUCAGUGGAAAAAAUGGAAAUUGGUAAUCCAUGCUAUGCAUCAGCAUCACAUUCACAUUUUCAUGUGGUGGCUUGGAGGUAUCAACUAAUAUGUAGAUGACAAGCAUGGUAUUGGGGAAUUGUGGCUAUAGCAAUGUAAUAGCAAUUUGAUAACUAUGAAAACAAUACGAUUAUGCAAAUCAUGGCCCCAAAGAGCCUGUCUGUGGAAAAAAUCAUUGAAGCUCCUGAAUGUCCAAACUCAAAACACAAGUGUAAAUCCACAUUCCUUCCAAGGAAGCAAUAUCUUUGAGAACCUUAAUCCUAGCUGAGCUCUGUUGACCAUAUUUGACAAUAGGAGAUACUAUGAAUAAGCUGAGGUCUUAUUCCCCAAGACUGGGUAAUUUAUAAAGGAAAGAGAUUUAAUUGAUGUACAGUUCAGCAUGGCUGUAAGAAAACUCACAAUCAUGGCGGAAGGUGAAGAGGAAGCAAGGCACCUUCUUCACAAGGUGGCAGGAAGAAGUGAGAAGUAAAGGGGGAAGAGCUCCUUAUAAAACCAUCAGAUCUCGUGAGAACUUACUAUCAUGAGAACAGCAUGAGGCAAACCUCCCCCAUGAUUCAAUUACCUACACCUGGUCUCUCCCUUGACACGUGGGGAUUAUGUGGAUUACAGUUCAAGGUGAGAUUUGAGUGGGGACCCAAAGCCUAACUGUAUCAACUAAUGACAGAGAUUAAGUGGUUUGGGAAUUGCAGGAGCCUAGUGACAACAUUUAACCAACAGAUAAGGUGAGUAAAAUGACCAUAAUAAACCUCAUGACAGUAAAAGAAACAAGAGUGACUUAUCCUACAGGGAAGUAAUAUAUCAUAGUUUUUCUAGGAAUGAAAUACAAAGGCAGCCAACUAAGUUGUGAUUUGAUUAUAUAACCUGAAUAAUCAAAAGAUGACAAGCAAUAGAAAAUUGCAAUCUCUUAGACCCUUUUCAUGUAUAAGCCAGUUCUCAGCCCAGAGCUCAAUAGGAGGACUAGGUCACCUAGAAGAAGGACUGUGUAAUGCCAAUGCAAGUAUAUUCAAUGUAUGUUCCAUUGAGAUCCUUUACCAGAAUAAAUGUACACUGGAGAAAUUUGAUUACUCAUAUCUUUCAAGGGUUUUUAGUUCAGGGUCUAAGUUGGCAGUGAUAUUGCUGAUCUGAAACACAAUCAUAGCUCCUUGGCUUGAGAAAAGUGUUAUGGAAUUCAGGCUUGAGAAAGGUGUUAUGGAAUUCAGGCUUGAGAAAGGUGUUAUGGAAUUCAGGCUUGAGAAAGGUAUUAUGGAAUUCAGGUAAUAAAUGGAGUCCAGACCAAGUCACAGUGGCAAUUUCCAUGGAACUCACUUGUAACACUAGGAUGGAUAUACUUAGAAUCUUAUUAGUUCCUGACCUGUUAAGGGUGAGCCAUUGCAGAAUGAAAGACCAGCAGAAAACUCCAGCAUCAUCCCUCUUACCCUCAAGGCCAAGAUAGUCAAUAAAAAAGAGUACUGUACGUCAAGAAGAAUUGCAGGAAUUAUUGACAACUUCAAAGUUUUUGAGGAGUCAGAGGGUCAGGCCAUCUGCAGAAGAGAACUAAGCACUCUCGGAAAACCACAUUCUUAUGUGCUACAGAGCCCAGCAGAAAAAGAAACACUGCAUGUGGAACAUCUGUUGACUAUACAGAAAGAGCAGGUAUCCAGGAGUGAGGUCAAACAUAUGCAAUAUACUUUUAUUGCAUAAUUGAAAUGGUGCAUUUGGAUUUGGAAAUUCGCAGGUCUAGAACAAAAAAUAAUUUACGUGAAGAGGUGUAAAUUCCUGAAAAGUGCAACAUUGGGAUAUCUAAUAAGAGCAAGUUUGGGCUUCAGUGAGGAAACAAUAAAAAUUUUGCAGAAGAAGCACAUGAAUAGAUCAUGAGAGUGGGCAAACAGCGUAAGAAACUGUGUCUCACGUUGAUAUCUACCUAAAAGUAUCCAAUACAGAGGAAGCACUUAAAAAUAAGAGAAAUAAGUGGAAUCCUUGUAAGGAUAUAAAACACAAUUUGUCUCAGCCACUCAGCCGUCCAACUUGAACAAUGAGCCCAUUAAGAGAACAGGACGAAAACAAGGUUUUCCUUUCUUUGUCAGAUCUCACUACUGCCAUUGCUGAUAGUCCAGCCUGCCAACAUCAGAGACAAACAUAGAGCACUCAAUAGAGUAGCGUCAACUAAUGGGACAUGUCAAUCACUUAGCAAUAUAUUGAUUAUAUCAGACUUGUCCAAACAGUAGUCCAUUCUUAUUGGAAUAGGUGUUUCUCUAAGAUUUGGGUUUGCCUUUCUAGCCCCUGUGCCUUUGCUAGUACCAUCAUCCAGGGGUUUAUAUAAUGCCACGUUUACACCUUGGCACACAAUAUAAUAUUUACUUAAUCAAAGUAACCAUUUUCUUAUGGUGAGUACAAGUAUUCUUUUUAUUAUGAUUAUGAUUAUUUAAACUAUGAAUAUACACCUUAUACUGGUCUUUGUAUGUGUAAUACAUAUUUGUAUAUGUAUAAUAUACAAAUAUAUAAUAUAUCUUUGUGUUUGUAUAAUAUGGAUUAUUAUAUUUGUAUAUGUAUAAUAUAUGAAUAUAUAAUAUAUAUUUAUAUUUUUAUAUGUAUAAUAUGGAUUGACAAUAUGUUUUAAUCGUCAAUAUGAAUAAAAUAAUAAAGAUGAAUAAAAUAAUAAUAAACCAAAUAUAUAUGUAGGGUUAUG
rnacentral:lncRNA from 1 species